rnacentral:rRNA from 1 species
GAUGAACGCUGGCGGCGUGCUUAACACAUGCAAGUCGAACGAUGAAGCCCAGCUUGCUGGGUGGAUUAGUGGCGAACGGGUGAGUAACACGUGAGUAACCUGCCCUUAACUCUGGGAUAAGCCUGGGAAACUGGGUCUAAUACCGGAUAGGAGCGCCUACCGCAUGGUGGGUGUUGGAAAGAUUUAUCGGUUUUGGAUGGACUCGCGGCCUAUCAACUUGUUGGUGAGGUAAUGGCUCACCAAGGCGACGACGGGUAGCCGGCCUGAGAGGGUGACCGGCCACACUGGGACUGAGACACGGCCCAGACUCCUACGGGAGGCAGCAGUGGGGAAUAUUGCACAAUGGGCGAAAGCCUGAUGCAGCGACGCCGCGUGAGGGAUGACGGCCUUCGGGUUGUAAACCUCUUUCAGUAGGGAAGAAGCGAAAGUGACGGUACCUGCAGAAGAAGCACCGGCUAACUACGUG